rnacentral:lncRNA from 1 species
GAAAGCUUAAAUUAUUGUUAAUCUAACUGCAGUGUCCAAUUUACAGUAGAUAUUACAGCGAAAAAAUACCAUGCUAUUGUUUGAGGAUAGUGCACAACAACAACACAUUUUUAUCACGGCAACUAGUUUUAUACAUUCACCUCUGAAGGUAUAUAAUGUACUUACAUUCAGUAAUCUUGCUCUAAUUUGUCAUCCUGAGGGUCCCGGAGAAAAACUGUAGCGUAGUUUUGUUUGAUAAAAUCCAUUUUUAUAUUAAAAUGUAGGAACUGGGUUCUACAGUUUGCUGUCUCUGGCUCCACACCUACCCCGUCCGGCCAUCUAGAUGUGUGAAGGUUAGUGUCUUUUCUGUUGGGAAGCUAAUGAUCCAUCAUGUAUGACAUUCCUGGGAGUGUGUAAACUUACAUUUUUAUUACCAUAGCAUUUUUGUAUGUUCUCUAUAGUUAUGUACUUGAAAAUGUAUAAAUUUACCAAUUCGGCACAUUUGGGCAAACUCCUGGCAGGCUUGAUACAAAAUAUUGUGGAGUCACUGGAUCAGUCUGAAACUUUGCACACUGCCAUCUUGUGGACAACAUCUAAAUUACAACUAUAAUCCUAAUCAGUAUCUGGUCUCUCUCUUGCAUUUCAAAGAUGCAAAAAACACGUUUUUUUGUUUGUAUUAUCUUUUACCAGAUCUAAUGUGUUAAAUUCUCCUACAUUCAUUUCACAUUUACACAAACUUCAAAGUGUUUCCUUUAAAUUGGUAUCAAUAAUAUGCAUAUCCUUGCUUCAGGGCCUGAGCUACAGGCAGUUAGAUUUGGGUAUGUCAUUUUAGGCGGAAAUUGAAAAAAAAAAAGGGUCCGAUCCUUAAGAGGAGUAAGAGUACAUCUUGCACUAGCCAACAGGCAAACAAUUCUACCAGCUAAGAGAACAAAUAAGUUACAGAUGUAACAAGAUAACUAUCUCUAGCAAAGUCUCAGAAGCAAGCAGUAAUUAUAGUAAACAAUCCCAUAAAAUAUAAGCCCGCAAUUUACAUUGCAGAUGCUCUUCUAGAAUACACACUGAUAACUUUGGUCGGCAGCCAAAUUUGCAUCGUCAUCUAAUAUGGUGUAAUUGUAGACUGAAUAUGGAGUAAUUGUAGACUGAAUAUGGAGUAAUUGCAGACCGUACCCCGGGGCGUUUCUUGUUCUACUAAACUAAUGGUGAAGAGGGAGAGAUGCCAGCGGAGAGGCAUGAAUUGCGCAAGAAGGUAAAGUUGAACACAGAUGUGUAAAUUAGAAGUUCAUUAAUUGGCUGGGCUAUUAAGCCACCAUUUGUAUGCUAGCCCACUACAGUGAAUUUUAGCGAAAUACGUUUUGUCUAUCGCACGUUUUGUGCAAAUGAAUUUAAAUUGAACAUCGCCAAAUGCUUCAGUUUAAUUAAAUGUGCAAUAAAAAAGUACAGUGCCUAGGCCUAUUUACCUGGUUGUUGGCCUGGGCAACAGAUCGCAACGCAGCGAAUCGCCAUUCCCCACUGAGCUUAUUUUUAGAAAUGGCAAAUUCACUUUCUAAUCCAUAAACCCAUAUCAACUUUUCCCUGACACCCAAAAGUACUUUGAAUGCUAAGCCGGACAGGAAAAUGGUCCAAUUCACACACUUAUCAAGAGAUCUUCCCUGGUCAUCCCUACUGCCUCUGAUCUAGUGGACUCACUAAACACAUGCUUCGUUUGUAUAUUAUGUCUGAGUGUUGGAGUGUUCCUACGGCUAUUUCUUAAAUAAAUAAAAAAAAGAGAAUCGUGCUGUCUGGUUUGCUUAAUAUAAGGAAGGUCAAAUAAUUUAUACUUUUACCACUGAUACUUAAGUAUACUGCUCAAAAAAAUAAAGGGAACACUUAAACAACACAAUGUAACUCCAAGUCAAUCACACUUCUGUGAAAUCAAACUGUCCACUUAGGAAGCAACACUGAUUGACAAUACAUUUCACAUGUUGUUGUGCAAAUGGGAUAGACAACAGGUGGAAAUGAUAGGCAAUUAG